rnacentral:rRNA from 1 species
CACGCUGUAAACGAUGCACGUUAGGUGCUAGAGAGUAUCGACCCUCUUUAGUGCCACAGUUAACACGUUAAACGUGCCGCCUGGGGAGUACGGCCGCAAGGCUAAAACUCAAAGGAAUUGACGGGGACCCGCACAAGCGGUGGAGCAUGCGGUUUAAUUCGAUGCUAAGCGAGGAACCUUACCCAGUCUUGACAUGUACCUGCAUACGCCAGAGAUGGUGUAGCCUUCGAGGGUGGUACACAGGUGC